AAAUCAUGUUGAGGGCAAUUUCGUAACAAUAUCUUGUGGCACUCCCAAGCAUCAUAUAGUGACUCCCCAUCCAACUGAUGGAAAUUUUGUAUAUUUCUCUUGAGUUU